rnacentral:tRNA from 1 species
UAUAUAUUAGUGUAUGAUGCACAGAAGAUUUUGAUUUUUCAAGAGUAAGUUUGAUUCUUACAGAUAUAA